rnacentral:rRNA from 1 species
AUGAACGCUGGGGGGGUGCCUAAUACAUGCAAGUCGAGCGAACAGACGAGGAGCUUGCUCCUCUGACGUUAGCGGCGGACGGGUGAGUAACACGUGGAUAACCUACCUAUAAGACUGGGAUAACUUCGGGAAACCGGAGCUAAUACCGGAUAAUAUAUUGAACCGCAUGGUUCAAUAGUGAAAGACGGUUUUGCUGUCACUUAUAGAUGGAUCCGCGCCGCAUUAGCUAGUUGGUAAGGUAACGGCUUACCAAGGCAACGAUGCGUAGCCGACCUGAGAGGGUGAUCGGCCACACUGGAACUGAGACACGGUCCAGACUCCUACGGGAGGCAGCAGUAGGGAAUCUUCCGCAAUGGGCGAAAGCCUGACGGAGCAACGCCGCGUGAGUGAUGAAGGUCUUCGGAUCGUAAAACUCUGUUAUUAGGGAAGAACAAAUGUGUAAGUAACUAUGCACGUCUUGACGGUACCUAAUCAGAAAGCCACGGCUAACUACGUG